rnacentral:rRNA from 1 species
AUGGUUUAUGUCGAAUGCCUUGUGCACGAGGAUGAUGAAAUCGGGCGGCUGCUCGUUGGAGCAAAGAUGAUAGUCGCGCCGGCAAACCGGUUGAAAAGUGCAUGCGCGGCCAUCUUCAGACGGUUGAUCCCAAAGCAUGUGCUCCUGGGCAUCACACGACGAAGUAGAGCUCUUUUAUGCGCGCGGCUCGCGCCGGAGCUCCUGCUGGCGUCGACGGAGUACAACGCGCGGGUGGGCACGUGGGCGCUCGGGUGCAUCAUGGCCGAGCUCCUCGCCGGCGCGCCGCUGCUGCCCGGGAGGUCGGAGAUGGACCAGCUGAACAGGGUGUUCGACACGGUCGGGACUGACGAUAUGACGGGCUGGCCCGGCUUCUGCCGGCUCGCCGCUCUGCCAGCGCAGCAGGCCGCCCAGCCGGCUCUUGGAGAUGUUCCCUGA